CCUACGGGCGGCUGCAGUGAGGAAUAUUGGUCAAUGGGCGAGAGCCUGAACCAGCCAAGUCGCGUGAGGGAAGACGGUCCUAUGGAUUGUAAACCUCUUUUGUCGGGGAGCAAAAGACGCCACGCGUGGCGUUCAGAGAGUACCCGAAGAAAAAGCAUCGGCCAACUCCGUGCCACCAGCCGAGGUAAUACGGAGGAUGCGAGCGUUAUCCGGAUUGAUUGGGUUUAAAGGGUGCGCAGGCGGAAGAUCAAGUUAGCGGGAAAAUUGAGAGGCUCAACCUCUUCGAGCCGUUGAAACUGGUUUUCUUGAGUGAGCGAGAGGUAUGCGGAAUGCGUGGUGUAGCGGUGAAAUGCAUAGAUAUCACGCAGAACUCCGAUUGCGAAGGCAGCAUACCGGCGCUCAACUGACGCUCAUGCACGAAAGUGUGGGUAUCGAACAGGAUUAGAUACCCCAGUAGUC
rnacentral:rRNA from 1 species